UACGAAUCUGCCUUUGUUAGGGACGGUAUUGUUCAGCAGUCUUUCGUAUUCAAAAUGCGGUAGUGUGGACGUGCUACGGAAUAGUUACCUAUUUAAACGUUACAAUUUUUGUGUUUAGCAAGUGUUUGAGCAAUAGGAUGGGUCAUACGGCAACCAGAUAGACUAUUCCACAUGUGGAAAAUCCUGCCCUGAUGCACUUCGUGAUACACAAAGAAGCUUAUUCCAGUAACACGAUUCUUCAUAAAUUCUUUUCCAUGCUUUUAUGUGAGGUGGUAGGACGUGUAGGGUGCCAAAGAAAUACUCCGCGGAUUAAUUUAACAAUGAGCCCAACUGUUAGCCCAGCUGAAGAUUUUUAAUCACAAGGCAUCAUAACCAAUCCGAUGCAGAGCUCUGCUAGACACUGGCUCUAGCAUGAACUUUAUAACCAAAAAGUUGGCAAAUCACUCGGUAUAAAGCAGGGGAGAUGUUCCGUCCCAAGACUCGAUUCAGUUGGAUCAUCGGGGAAAGUCCAGCAGCUCAAUCGACAUCACGCACAUUUCACGCCUCCAGAACGGAUCUCAACGCUUGUCCACUGAUCUCAAAGGUCGCUACAUCACAUUCUCCAAUGCCAACGCAAGUCCCAAUCACGGAAUCCACGACGCCGCACUUCCCUUUACCAAACAUGACAUGCUUCACGCUUCCAUAGGUGAGACGAUGACGAGAACGAGAAGGUCAAAAAAAAAACGCUCAAUACUUUCAAGGAUCUGAUGUUUCGGAAUCGCACUACGAAGAAACGUGGAACCCUCCAGAACAACCAAACCGGUCCACCUGGCCACUCAUCGAUGAACUCGCUAGGAAGAACGAAUCAGGGCAUUCUGUGCACAGUCCCAGCAUGGUGACCCUUCCCGGAAAGAAACAAGGCCUAAUACUGGACAAUUCUGAGCUCAACUGCCCCUGAAACCAGAGUCUAGGCAAAACAGUCCGAGUUACGCGUUUNUGUAGAGGACCGGUAAAUAGGAUGUUUGACCGUGAGAUUUACUAGAUGUUAUUGCUUGUUGUCGUAACCGUUGAAUAUAUUACAAAUAAUAAAUUAAUAUACAGACUAUAUACUCGCUGAGUCGCUCGUACAGAGUAUAAAUCGCAAAGUAAAAUUGCUAAUUAAUACUCAGUAAAUGCUCGUUAGAUACUCCUCGAUAUCUCGUGGUGGGUAGAUAACUCGUGACAACACUUAGAUAGCUCGUCGAUACAAAAAAAUACUCAUUGAUACUGAUAGAUACUAUACUCUUUUCGGUUGCGUCGGUUUAUUUAUACUGGUCGGGAGGAGUCGGACAAUUCAAAUUCGUCUUUGUUCGACGGUUGCACGUAGCGGCGACAUUGUUUUUGUCCGGAGUAUAUUUAUUCUUACAUUACAUGCGUUCUAACGAUCUCGACACUCCAAGGCAAAAUAACGAUAUGAUUUGAGUUGUCCUCUCCUCAUGUGCCGCUGCACGCGGAACCAGCGGACGCUAUCGCACCCAAAUCGGCCAAACGAAAGCUACGAUGCUUCUGAUUAUAUUCAUCAUCUCUGGAGAAUCGGACGCAUAAGCUCAACACAUACUUACUGAAUUCACAGAGGACCACCUCUAGCAAAUUUAUAACCACAAGCUAUUCCCUUGAAUCACCCUUAUCUACAACGACGCCGUGGGCUGUGGUGUUACAGACCCUUCCUCGGCUGACGUUUUCCAUAAUACUUCCUGGGCCGACAUGUUCCAUGACAAUUCAUGGGCAGAGAUGUUCCAUGACACCUCCUGAGACGAGGUGUUCAACAAUACUUCCUGGACCGAAGUAGUCACCGACAUUUCCAGAAUCUAUGCGUUCCACGACACGUCCUGGGUCGUGAACUCCAGCAUGAAAUUUAUUGGCCACGACAAGGACGGCGAUCAACCGCACUACGAGGUAGACGACAAACCCUCGCAACUGGUCGCUGAACGUAGCCACAGUCAUGGGAUGAACGUUUUUACCUAACAAAGAAGUGCCAAUAGUGUGGGACACGCGUUGUAUUAACAAUCAAAUUCUGGGCAGGAGCAGUGUCAGCUCUACGUGGGUCUGCCGAACAACGGCGGCUGGAAUUUUAUUGAUAUCCCCGGCCAAUAUGCAACGAACAAACGCGAUCGUAAAGGGAGGAAAGUUUCCAUCAGUCUUUUAUUCUUGCGAUCACCUUGGGGAGUUUUCACAUCGUCUUUACGUGCAGUAUUAUACCGAGUGUCACAGCAAACGUUACUCGAUUUCGUUCAUGCAGCAAAAAGUAUACGUAAGAAUUAACUAGUUAAAUAUAACAAAUUUAGAUAAGAUAUUCAUUUUCAUCGACUACUAUAUAGACGAACUAAUAAGUAGAAAUUAGAUUUAAUGAUUUUCUAUGGAUUACGUGCAGAUUACGUACGAUUUCGUGAUUUACGUGCGGAUGUGAAAAAAAAAUUCAAUUGUCAGUAAAGUUUAUAAUAUAUCUUAUAAUAUAUAAUAUAGUAAUAUUAUAAGAUAUUAUUAAGAUUCUCAAAUCAAAAGUGAAUCGCGUGCUUUGCUUGAGAAUGAAAUUAAUUUUGAAUUAAUUAAUCGUCCACAAUUAAUUGGCAUGAAUUGUUGUUUGCUAUAUCAGUGUUAGCAAAAGUUUACAGAAUAUCGAAAAUUUGGUUUCACCUGUGAUCUGAGUUAUGCAUCUCCUAAAUGGAUUAAAUGAUUUUUUAAUAAAUUUUCAAAAUAACAGUUAUUUUAGAACAAGGAUAAUGGAAAUACAUAAACAUUUUGUUAAUAACGACGUGGGUAUACUGAUAGGAACUAAUAUCUGAAGAAUAUCUGAAUGUCUUAAAAAGCUUUUUACAGUACAAAAUAAAGUACACUUUAGAAGUUUUGAAUUGUGGGAUCAAAUAAGUUUAUAUUUUUAUUUAUUCGAAAGUUUGUUUGUAUUGUUUAUUGUAUUCAUUUUAAUAUAUAAAAUAAAAUAACGGAUGAAAAAUGAUGGAAAAUAAUGAAAAGAAAUGUUCAGGAAAAUGUAAUACCUUUUUGAUCUUACAAAGACAAACUUUAACAUUCUACUUUUAGUUUCUAAUCUAAAAAAUUCUCUGCCGUAUUUAAUUUCUAAGGCGUAAAUAUUCAAAUCGCUAUCCUUUAUCAUUGAAACAUCUAUGUAUUUGCAUUAUUCUUAUUCUAAAGUAGUCGUUAUCUCAAAAGAAGGGCAAAACUGUAAAUCAUAAAAUCAUAUCGUCACAUCUUAAUUAAAAAUAAAGCAAAACUGUAAAUCAUAAAAUCAUAUCUUAAUCACAUCUUAAUUGCCGAGAAAAUAGAUGAAAAUGAAAUAAAAGUUUCAAAAUGUAACCAAAGCUUAAUAGUUGUAAAAAAUGCCUUUCUGGACACUAAGAGCGCAACCGCGUUGUAUGUUGCCAAUGCAAGUGUAGCGAUUAUCCACCGCGCCACGUCGGUUGACGAUCGCGGUUUGGCUAGCGAAAAAAGAAAGAAACCGUAAAACUAAAGGAUCAUUCAAAAUUGGCACUUUAUACGUUCGUUCAAGUUUGUAUAACGAGAUAGCGAUAUUAGUUACAUUACGUUAUGUACAUAUUAGUCUAUGUUCAUUAUUUACUUUUGGUGAAACUGUACAGAGACUGACUAAACCUCGAUUUCGAUGAUUUUUGCGUAUGUCGUGCAAAUCGAUAUAUUAAACAAGUUUUUCCUAUAUGUACAAGAACUGAACUUGCUUAAUUUCCGAGAUAUUCGCAAAAAACUACCGGUAUCGCUUGAGUGAAUUUUGUCUAUAGUUGUGCGUGCGUGCAACAUAUGCAUCGGUCGCUACCGGAUACAAUAGUAUAUGUAGGUAUGAUAGAACGGGUGAGUAUUACGGGAGAUUGAAAUAUUAUUUAACUGCUAGGUAAAAGGAGACGUCCGCUUAAGGAGUUCACCGCCAAGCCACAAAAAACGCAAAAACUGAAUAAGCCGAUGAAUCACCGAUUAACGAAAUAAACUCGAUCAUUACAAGCGACAAUAUACAGGAAAUUUAUGUCGAUUUUUCCCUAACAAUAAAUAACGUCAAUGUUUGUGUACAUUUAUUAUACAAUUACAUUAUUUAUAUAAAUGUCUCUUAUGGUGUACAAUUACAUAUAUUUGA